rnacentral:rRNA from 1 species
GAUGAACGCUGGCGGCGUGCCUAACACAUGCAAGUCGAACGGAGCUGCUUUGAUGAGAUCUUCGGGUGGAUUUAAAACAGCUUAGUGGCGGACGGGUGAGUAACGCGUGGGUAACCUGCCUCACACUGGGGGAUAACAGUUAGAAAUAGCUGCUAAUACCGCAUAAGCGCACAGUUCCGCAUGGAACAGUGUGAAAAACUCCGGUGGUGUGAGAUGGACCCGNGUCCGAUUAGCUGGUUGGUGAGGUAACGGCCCACCAAGGCGACGAUCGGUAGCCGGACUGAGAGGUUGAACGGCCACAUUGGGACUGAGACACGGCCCAGACUCCUACGGGAGCAGCAGUGGGGAAUAUUGCACAAUGGGGGGAACCCUGAUGCAGCGACGCCGCGUGGAGGAAGAAGGUCUUCGGAUUGUAAACUCCUGUUGUUGAGGAAGAUAAUGACGGUACUCAACAAGGAAGUGACGGCUAACUACGUGCCAGCAG